rnacentral:rRNA from 1 species
GACGAACUGUCCUAACGUUGUUCGGAUUCAUUGGGCGUAAAGGGUGCGUAGGUGGCGCCGUAAGUCGGGUGUGAAAUUUCGGAGCUUAACUCCGAAACUGCAUUCGAUACUGCGGUGCUUGAGGACUGGAGAGGAGACUGGAAUUCAUGGUGUAGCAGUGAAAUGCGUAGAGAUCAUGAGGAAGACCAGUGGCGAAGGCGGGUCUCUGGACAGUUCCUGACACUGAGGCACGAAGGCCAGGGGAGCAAACGGG